AAGUUAUGCUUUCAGGGAUUAUUUCUUUAGUUGGUGACUGGAGAGGGGUGGCUGUGAAAAGCUGAUUUUGCUAGCUAUAAUGAGGAAUUGUAGUGUUUCCUUCUGAACAUGAAAAUAGCAGAAAGUCCUGUUCUAUGGCAGUUGUUUUCUGCUAUAGAAAAAUGUCUUGUUCUUCUUGAGAAGAGCAGGGGAAAGAUGCACAGUCUGAGUGGU